rnacentral:rRNA from 1 species
CGAGUGAGUAACGCGUGGAUGACCUGCCCUUCAGCGGGGAAUAACCCGGGAAACUCGGGCUAAUACCGCAUACGACCGAGAGGUGAAAGGGGGCCGCAAGGCUCUCACUGAAGGAGGGGUCCGCGUUCGAUUAGCUAGUUGGUAGGGUAAUGGCCUACCAAGGCGACGAUCGAUAGCCGGCCUGAGAGGGUGAUCGGCCACACUGGAACUGAGACACGGUCCAGACUCCAUACGGGAGGCAGCAGUGGGGAAUUUUGCGCAAUGGGCGAAAGCCUUGACGCAGCAACCGCCGCGUGGAGGAUGAAGGUCUUUGGAUUGUAAACUCCUGUCAGCAGGGAAAAAGCGAAGAGACCUCAUACGUCUCUGAGUUGAUUGUACCUGCAGAGGAAGCCCCCGGCUAACUCUGUGCCAGCCGCCGCGG